GGCACAAACUUGAAGUAGAAUAGUUGGGUACGGUCAGCUGAUCCUAAUAGUCUACUCUACAUCAGGUUUGUCCCC
rnacentral:pre_miRNA from 1 species